rnacentral:tmRNA from 1 species
GGGGGCGACUGGAUUCGACCGGGUAACUAGAAGCAAUAUGUUGCGUACCGUGGUUGAUCAGCAGGCCACGUAAAAAGCUGAUUACAAUUUUUAGAUGCAGAAGAUUCCUUCGCAUUGGCUGCAUAAGUAAUUUAGUAGCCCCGAGCUUAGAUUUUUUGUCGGAGAGAAACUAAGUUCGGUUGUAAUUCCGACUAGUCGAUCGUCAUGUAGAUACGCUAUCGGCGAAAUUUUGUUUCUGCUGGCAAAGAGAGGACCUCGUCACUUAGGGCCUCGCUUUGUAAGAUUAAAAGAGUGACUACGUACGUAGAGACAGUUGUGGAAGUACCGCGGGACGCGGGUUCAAUCCCCGCCGCCUCCACCU